rnacentral:sRNA from 1 species
GAAUUUGAGGGUGACCUGGCUGUGACAAGCCACCCCACUGAUCAUCAGUGUUUUUUUUUUUUUUUAAGUGAUCACACUGGCUUGUUGGGUGUCCCCUUUUUCCUCCACAGUUC